ACGAUGCGGGGCUUGAUCCCAGGGCCCCGGGAUCAUGACCUGAGCUGAAGGCAGACGCUUAACGACUGAGGCACCCAGGCGCCCCAGAUCUUUUAAUUUUUUUUAAGUCAGAUCUUGAUAAUGAAAAAUCCGACCUUGACUAUCAAACUGCCACCGCACAUAGCAAUGAGUGGGGAGCUGGGUCUGGUCUAAGGUGCUCUGGAUGUGCUGCUACUGACUGGCCCCAGGACCAGCAGGACACAGAUCAUCAUGUAUAUGACAUGAGGCCACUGCAGAGUCACCUCACAUCCAGAAUAUCAUUAACUUCAGAGAACAUCGAGAGCAUUAUGCCUGGAAUCGAACGAGUGCUGGGCAGCCAGGCGGACCUCAGCCGAGGUGGGGGAGAGGGACAAAUACAGUAAACCCUGACUAAUGCUCUUUCUUCAAACAACUUUAUUUAGGUGCCGAGGGGUAUCCCCAGAGCUCCGAACACCUUGCCCACACACACUAUGCAGAGCAACUUUAGGUUUACUGAAAACAUGAGCAUAAAAUACAAAGAGUUCUUAAAAACAGUUUCUCCUAUAAUUAACAUCUUGCAUUAGUGUGACACAGUUACAAUUGAUAAGCAAAUAUUGACACAUUUUCAUUAAUAAGUCAGCAUCCCCCCCACUCCUCUCCUUGCCUGUGGCCUGGGAUCUCUUUCAAAGCCGCAAUCUGGGAACAACUGUUUCCUGUUUCACGGGACUCCUGUCCUUAAUUGCCCAUUAUCUAGUGUCUUGCAAACAGUUGUGUGGUAUAUUUUAUCUGUUUUUUUCCCCUGGAGGAAGGGCAGAUUCAUCCUGCAUUAUUCCACCACGGCCGGAAGCUAAGGUCUUUUUGUGUAUCUUUGACACCACGAAGACAGGAUAGACUUACUGUGUUUUGAAGUCUACCAUUAGGUGGCGCUGUUGUACAACUGAGAUGCUUUUCAGAAAAGGCCCCGUACAAAGAAGUUCUUUUAAGAGAUCUAUGAAAUUAUAUAUUUGGUAUUAGUUUGGGUACAAAAGUCUGUCUUGUUGAGCUCUACUUUAUUCCUAUAUCUGUUAUCAUGGAAUUUUUGCUUCAGUGUAAAAUUUAUAAAGAUAUUUUGCCUACAAUCAUACAUGUCAUAGAUUGACUAUGACAAUCUCCUGGGACCCAGUAGGAGAAAUAUUACAGUCGUUAAGGGUAGGUUUCCACGUCUAAGUGGAUUUAGAUAUAUUUAUGAAGGCACUGAUUAACAUUCAUUCCUGACGUGCUGAGAAGAAUAAGAUGUGUUUCCUGCCUCAGAGGGCUCCUGUCCGCAUGGGGGAGACAUAGAUGUGGACCCCCAGUGACCAAGGAGGCAUUCUUCACAGAGCAGGUGACCAUCUAUCAGGGUGCAAAAGAUGUGUAGAAAUUUUCCACUGGAGAAGGGGGCAAAUAACAGUCCGUCCCCAACAGUGGAAAUAUCACGUAGAAGGAGAUAGAUAUUCAAAAUAUCAUAACCAGGUCAGAGAAGAUGGAGUGGGUCCAUGCAAUUAGCAGGAAUAAAAGAGCAAUAGGAAAUAAGGAUAAGGAAGGGGACCAGGACCACAGCAUGAAGGGCCAGAUUUGCUACAUAAGGGCUCAGAUUAUACCUUGUAGCCAGUGGAGAGUAAACAUAGUUAUCAGUUAAGUGAUUAAUAUGAUUAAAAUGGUGUUUUAGACUAGAGUCUCUAAACUACUUGGGCUGAACAGCCUUUAUAAUAAAUGCAGUUUUAGUAAACAUCCAAUAUAUUUAUACAUACAUAUAUAUAUAUAUACACACAUAUGUAGCAUUAUGUAGACACAUGAUGCAGAUUAUAAAAUAUGCAUAAAACUAUGCAGCUUGUGGUAAUAAUGACAUAGACUUUGACAAUUUUGAAUUUUUUACAGAUUAUACAUCAGGUCUGAUUAGAUCCCUGUUUUAUGUUAUAGUGGAGCUAAUUUAAGUGGAAUGGAAGACAUCUGAGUCUCAAUGUUCUCUUGAUCACUUCAAGAAAUUCGACCACGGCAGUGAACUUGCAUUCUUUCUUCAAGCCUGACAUACUGCCAUUUCACACAGAAACAGUAGGAUUGUUCUCCCAAGUCAAUAUUAGAGGCCUAACUUCUUAUUUAUUAAUUUAAGAUAAGUGCAAAUUGGAGACUUACUGUUUUAUUUGUCCCCUGUGGAGCACUGUGCGCGCCUUCGAUGCAUGUGUCCUCACACAUACCCCCGGGCUGGGUGACUCUGGCUGCAGCCCUCCAGAGAGACUGCAGAACGUAGGCAGGAGACCAACACGGACACCAAACAGGAGCUGCUUCUCUGUUGGUAAUCAGAGCAGAGAUCAAUUAAAUCCGAGAUAAACAGUUACAAUCCAAUUCAAAUAAUACAUAUUUCACUUCAGCCUCUUGUAAAUUAACAAAGCAAAAUAUUAAAAAUAAUAAUUAUGUCCCCCAAAGUUCUGGUAUUACGAGUGAACAUGGGUUAGAGUUAUCCUGGAAAGAAAACUUAGUGACUGAUCUCUGGCCAGUGUGUUAGAAACGACAAGACCCCUUCACUGGUGAGGACACAGCAAGAAGUCAGCAGUCCGUGACCCCGAAGAGGGGUUUUGCCAGAAUCCGGCCAUGCUGGCUCCCUGAUCUCAGACUAUCAGCACCCAAAACUGUGAGUAGUAUAUGUCUGUUAGUUACAAGGGGUGUUUUGUUACAGGAGCUCAAAUGGACCAGGACCAAGAACAAAGAUAAACUGGAAUAUUUGACCUAGGUUUUCUGCUGCAGUAUUGCAGAAGAUGCCCGAGGAGACUUGAAUUGGCAUCCAUCUCUCCAUCUUUCUGCCCAACCAUUAGCCCUUGAAAUGAAUAUGGCUACUUCACUGAAGACGCUGAGCUUCUCACAUGUAGCAAGGAGCAUCACACCCCUGCCUCAGUUUUGCAGUUGAAAGUUCCUCAUGGAUUGAAAUUACUGUGAUCUAUCAAAAUUUACUAUGUUGUGGAAAUAAAAUAAAAUCACAUGUCAGGCAAGGAAUGAUGACAACAAUGGACCAGCUUAUUAUGAAGCUUAAAAUGAAAAUGCUUUACUGGAAACAGUCCAUUGGUCUUUUGGAAGAUUGAGAAUAUGUGUCAAAAUCAGAGUGCUGGUGUUCUAUUUAUUCUUAUUGAUGUGGCUGGUUUGCCCCAUGCUUAAGACCCACCUAUCUGGAAUUCUGUAUCCAGAGAAAUCAUCCUUCAAAAGUAAAAGAGAAAUAAAAACUACUUUCUCAGACAAAAAACUGGAGAAAAUUGUUGAUAGUAGACAUGCCUUACAAGAAAUGUCAAAAGGAGAAGGAAAAUGAUGUAUGUCAGAAACGCAGAUAUACAUAUAUGAAGGUGAAAUAAGAUAUUUUGUUUUUAUUAUUGUUAAUUGAUACAAUAGAAAACUAUUCAAGAAUAGCAACAAUGUAUUAGGUGAUUUUAGGUAGAGAUUUUAAGUGAAAUAAAUGACAUCAAUGUUAUCAAAGAUGGGAGGAAGGAAUUGAGGAUAUUCUUUCAUAAGAUACCUGCAAUACCAAUGAAGGGUUAUGAUGUUAUUUGAAAGUGAAUUUCAAUUAGUUGUAAUUAGUUGUAAAUAAAUACUGCAAAUUUUAUAGCAGCCAGGAAAAUAAUUUUAGAAAGAAGGGUAAUUGAUAUGUUAGAGGACAGAGAAAAUGGAAUCAUAUAAAAUGGUCAGUUAAAACCAGAGGGGCAGAAAAAGAAGGGAAGAUUAAAGCAAAGGAAUGAAAGAAGGACAACAAAGAAAAUAGUUAUAAAUAUGGUGGUAGAUUUUAAUCCAAAAUAUCAAUCAUUACUUUAAAAGUGAAUGGUCUAAAUACACCAGUUAAAAGACAGGGAAUGUUAAAGUGGAUAAGAAAAAAAGGCCCAACUAUAUAUUGUCUAUAAAGAAGCCAUUUUAGGGCGCCUGGGUGGCUCAGUUGGUUAAGUGACUGCCUUCGGCUCAGGUCAUGAUCCUGGAGUCCCUGGAUCGAGUCCCGCAUUGGGCUCCCUGCUUGGCAGGGAGUCUGCUUCUCCCUCUGACCCUCCCCCCUCUCAUGUGCUUGCUCUCUCUCAUUCUCUCUCUCAAAUAAAUAAAUAAAAUCUUAAAAAAAAAAAAGAAGCCAUUUUAAAUAUAAGGACACAGAUAGUUAAAGAGGGAGGGGCUAUAGAAAGUUCUACCAUGCUGACAUUAAUCAAAACAAAACUGGGGUAACUAUGUUUCAGGCAAAGAAGACUUCAGAACAAGGAAAAUUAUCAGGAUUAGAGAGAGGUAUUACAUAAUGCAAACAGGGUCCUUAAUAUGCAUGUUCCUAACAACACAGCAUCAAAAUACACAAAGUAAAAUACUGAUAGAACUGAUCAUUACUCUGGGGUGCCUGGGUGGCUCAGUUGGAUUCUUGAUUUUGGCUCAGGUUGUGAUCUCAGGGUGGUGAGAUCAAGCUCCACAUCAUGGUCCCCACUCAGUGGGGAGUCAGCUGGAGAUUCUCUGUCUCCCUCUCCUUCUGCCCCUCUCACCACUUACACUCUCUCUCUCUCAAAUCAAUCAAUCAAUCUUAAAAAAAAGAACUGAUCAUUACUCAUCCUAUGGACAAUAACAGGGCAAUAAAGGAAUUUUUUAUACAACUCUAUGACACAAGUUUGGUAACUUAGAUAAAAUGGACCAAUUGGAUAGAACCACCAAAAUUCAAACAAGAAGAAAUAGAUAAUCUGAAUAGAGUGAUAUCUAUAACAAUUUUGAAUCACUAUUUAAUAAAAUUCCAAAACCAAAAGCACCAGUUCUAGAUGGUUUCACUGAUGAAUUUUACUAAACAUUUAAGGAAGAAAUGACACCAAUUCUCUCCAACGUCUUACCGAAAAUAGAAGCAGAGAGAACACUUUCUAACACAUCCUAUGAAGCUAGCAUUACACCAACCUCCCCCCACACCAAACCAGAUAAAGACAUUAGAAAAAAAGGAAACAACAGACUCAAAUAUCUUCUGAAAAUACAUGCAAAAGUCCUCAAAAGAAUAUUAGCAAAGUGAAUUCAACAGUGAAUAGGAAAUUAUACAUCACGACUAAUGCAAAUAUGCAUGGCUAAAAUCCAAUAAUACCCGAAGCUGGUGAAGAUACAGAAUGACAGGAACUCUCAUUCAUUGCUGGUGGGAAUACAGAAUGGUGCAGUCACUUUGGAAGAUAGUUGGGCAGUUUCUUUCUUUCUUUUUUUUUUUUUUAAAGAUUUUAUUUAUUUAUUUGAGAGAGAGAGAGAGUGAGAGAGCACAAGAGGAGGGAGCGGGAGAGGGAGAAGCAGACUCCCCGCUGAGCAGGGAGCCCGAUGUGGGACUUGAUCCCGGGACUCCAGGAUCAUGACCUGAGCCGAAGGUAGUUGCUUAACCAACUGAGCUACCCAGGCGCCCAGUUGGGCAGUUUCUAAGCAUGGUCUUACCAGCAAACUACUUGGUAUUUACCCAAAUGAGUUGAAAACAUAUCCAUUAACACAUACAAAAAAACCUGCACAUAAAUGUUUAUAGCAGUCUUAUUCAUAGUUGCCCAAACUGGAAGCAAUCAAAAUGUUCAUCAAUAGGAAAUGGAUAAUCAAACUUUGGUACGUCCAUACAGUGGAAUAUUAUUCAGUGACAAAAGGAAAUGAACUAUCAAACCAUAAAAAAAUAUGGAAGACUCUUAAGUGCAUAUUGCUAAGUGAAAUAAGCCAUUUUGAAAAAAUAUACACACACAUAUAUGUAGUAAGAUUUAUUUAUUUAUUUUAGAGAGAGAGUGCACAAGUGAGCAGGGAGGAGUGGAGAGGGAGAGGGAGAGAGAAACUCAAGCAGACUCUGUGCUGAUCAUGGAGCCUGACUUGGGGCUGGAUCUUAGGACUCUUAACUGUCUCUGCCACCCACAUGCCCCCAAAAUACGUAUUUUAUUAUUCCAGUAUAUGUGUCUAUGUCAUUCUGGAAAACUAUAGAGACGUAAAAAACUGUAGAGAUAAUGAAAAAGAUCAGUGGUUACAGGGGUUGGGGGAAUGAGAGGAAGGAUGAGGAUGUGAAGCACAAGGCAGUGAAACUAUUCUCUGAUACUAAAAUGACAUAUGAAAUUGUACAACCUUACUGUAAACUAUGGAUUUUUAUUUAAUAAUAAUAUACUAAUAUUGUGUCAUUAACUUGAACAAAUGUACCAUGCUAAUCCAAGUUGUUAAUAAUAGAGGAAACUGUGGGUGAGGGUAUGGGAGCUUUGUGUUAUCUGCUUGAUUUUUCCGCAAAUGUAAACCUGCUCUAAAAGUAAAGUCUAUCAACUAUAGAAAACAAAAAUAUUAAAAAUCUCAAUACAAGUUUCAUUUCAGUUUGCCUAUAACAUACUCCAGAAUCCAUUUCAUUGAAACAAAUUUCAGUUUUGAAGUAAUCGGAUUGUCCAAAAGAGGGUGCCAAAGACUUACAAAGAUAUCUUCUUUGGUUAUGCAAGAGGAAGUUAAAUAAUAACAUAGAAUUAAUAGAAUAAAAAACCCGAAGGCUGUAACAUAAGUCAACAGGCAUCACACUUGCUGUAUCUUGCCCAUAACUUCUGUCUUCCUUCCUUAGGACUCAGAUCCAUUACCUUUGUUCUUUGGUGCUGCUUCUUUGUUGUCUGUGAUGGUGUAAUACACCCUGAUGGUGCACAGCUGUGACCUGGACUCCAGUGAGACCUGAAGGAAGCUGGAGAAAGACACAGCGAGAGAGGGAACACAAGCAGGGGGAGUGGGAGAGGGAGAAGCAGACUCCCUGCCGAGCAGGGAGCCCGAUGCGGGACUCGAUCCAGGGACUCCAGGAUCAUGACCUGAGCCGAAGGCAGUCGCUUAACCAACUGAGGUAUUUCUGUUUUAAAUGGAGAUGUCCUCUGACUGACAUCUGGGCAUACUUCUUGCAAAUCUCAGAGCCAGCUACAUGUUGAGGUUCAGCUCAGUUCUAGUGAUGUGGCGAUUUGAGUUAUCUUGAGCUAUCUUUGGUGCUCUAUUAGCGGCCAUGCUUUAAUUUCAGGAAGGCUUUCUUCUCUGUAGGAAGGAAGCCUGGAGUGACGGAAUUAUCCUCUCGGAGUACAUUUCCUCUUCAUUCUGUUUUCAAAAUGUUUCUUUCCAGAAGAAAAAAAUUACAUCCUUAUGAUAGGGGGAGGAGGUUUGGAUGAAAGGACUAUUCAUUUGUUUAUUAUAUUCCUUCUCAGAAGAUGUGGCUAAAGUAGGUUUUGUAGUUAUUUUCAUAAUUAUUUUAGUGAGAAGGAUUUAUAGUACAUAUUUUAUUUUGUCGAGUGAGAAUAUUAUAGCAUACACACACUGCCUCCCCAGACUUUUCCCAAAACGACUAACAGUAUCAACUUAAUAACAAUAUUAAUUUAAUACCAAAAUGCAAGAAUAUUAUUAUCAACUCCAUCAUUUACUAGCUGUAAGAGCUUGGUCAGGUUAAUAUCUCUUUUUAUUUAUAAAAUAAGGUAACUGUGAAUAUCAAGUGAGAUAAAUAUAUACAAUAUACAUAUAUUUAUUAUAUAUUAUAUAAACUAUACAUAAUAUAUAUCAUAUGCUGUAUAAAUUAUGUAUAACACAUAUAUCUUUAUUACAUGUAUACAUAUGUAUGUGUGUGUGUAUAUAUAUAUGUGUGUGUGUAUAUAUAUAUGUGUAUAUAUAUAUAUAUAUCAUGGCCUAUGGUAAAUACUCAAUAUGUGUUAGCAUAUUUAAGUUUUUGUCAUUAUUAGUUGUCCCUUAGUAAUAUUUUUGAAUACAUUCAUUUUUAAGGAAAGCCCACUGCUUGUAUUUAUUUUUCUUAGUUUGGAUUCUCCCCAAAGCAGACCCUGAGAUGUGAAGUAGGGAAGCAAAGGGGACAUUGGUAGGAAACUGGUAGGAAGGGAAGGACCAAAGGGAACCAAAUGAAGGGGGAACCCCUAGGCCAGUUGCCAUCAUGGGCCUACUGGAGCAUGAUCCCACAAGGAAUCUCUGGGAAAAGUGCAAAACACAUGCUUCAGAAUUUACUAGUAAAUGGGCUGUGAAGCUAAGCAAAACAACUCCUGAUAGUCAUUUGUUGAGGACCGUUCCUUGGACUGCUCCUUCCCCAGCACUUCCUACCUGCCAGGCAGGUGUGCAGGCAGUGGCCCUCAGGGGCCAUACUGUAGAGACAGGCUGUGGGAAGUCUCCUGGGGCGUCUUGAAAGGUAGGGCACUGACGCUGUCUGCUACCGCCAUGAACUGUUGAAAACCUGGCCUUCAACAUGGCUUAGGAACUACUGGGGAACACUAUGAGCGUCUUAUCAUAUUCCCUGUUCCACAGGUGGACAGGUGGAUUAAUUAGGCUGUACCAAAUACUACAUUUUAUAUAAACCACAUUCCAUUCUAAGUAGAAUCUAGUUAGCCCAUUGGAAUAAAAAAAAAACCCAUGACUCUGGACCACAACAAAUCAUGUGUUUUAUUUUUUAUUUAUUUUCAAAUUUUUUAUGAUGAAAAUUUCACACAUAUAUAAAGAAGGAAUAAUAUGGUGAUCAGCCACAUAUUCAUCGUCCUGGUUCAAAAAUUUUGUUUCAAAAAUAAAUCUACCCCACUCCCACCUAGAUGAAUUUUAAAUAAAUUAUAUUGUUUUGUUCAUGAAUAUUUCAGUGUAUAUCUAUAAAAUAUAAAAGUAAUUUCAUUGUUAGGCUUAAAUUGUUAACAGUAGUUAAUACAAUCAAAUACCUGGUCCUUGUGUAAAUUUUCCUGUCUUCCUUUUCUCUUUCUUUCUUUCUUCUCUUUCCUUCCUUCCUUCCUUCCUUCUUUUCUUUUCUUUUCUUUUUUCUUUUCUUUUCUUUUCUUUUCUUUUCUUUCUUUCUUUCUUUCUUUCUUUCUUUCUUUCUUUCUUUCUUUCUUUCUUCCUUUCUUUUCUUCAGCUGGGGCAAAAUAAUAAGGACCUAAAUGGCUCCAUAUCACACUUGAUUGAUAGGUUUUUUUAAGUCUCUCUGAAUCCACGGAUUCCAUCCUUUUCUUUUUUUGUUUUGUUUUGUUUUAAUUCAUUUAUUUUUGGUGCUGUACCUUCUUCUGGAUCAGUGUCAUGCCCUGCCCUUGGUUUUCAGUAGUUGUUGACUGGAGAAAAUAAAUAUCUUCUCAUCUCAUUAGAUUAGUGGCAUGUCCAUUUCAGGUGCCAUUUCAAUAACUGGUCUAAUCAUGUGCUGGACAUGGAGAUGCCCAGGCCUGUGCUCUGAAGUGAUAAGGUGAGAUGCAGUGAUGAUUGAAAAUAGAAAAGAAAAAAAUGGAUGAAUUUGACUACAUGGCCUUGGAGAAAACAGUUGACUUUCCUCUAUUAUCAAAAAUUAUCAUGGCGCCUGGGUGACUCAGUCGGUUAAGUGUCUGACUCUUGAUUUCCGCUCAGGUCAUGAUAUCAGGGUCGUGAGAUUGAGCACUGCAUCAGGCUCUGUGCUGGGUGUAGAGUUUGCUUAGGAUUCUCUCUCUCCCUCUCCCUCUGCCCCUCCCUGCUUACGUAUGUGCUCUUUCUCUCUAAUAAAAAAAAAAUUAUCAGAUACCAAAUGUUGAUAUUAACAUUAUCAGAAUGUCACUAACAAAACUUCUUGACAGAGCUUGGCCUUAUCCCCAGAGAGCUUACAUCUCAGAGAUCACAAAACAGCCUAAUUUAACUAUUAAUCGACAUUUAAAAAUAAUGUGCUAAUUGCAUAAAAUGUUUUUAAAUACAAAAUUUAAGUGGUUAUACUGUAAUUAGUGGGAAGGAAUGUUCAUGGAUCAGCUAUUAACACUCUAAUUUAAAAUCUUAAUAUAAAAACUGUGUUUCAAUGGUUC